AAGCGAACAGAUGAGAAGCUUGCUUCUCUGAUGUUAGCGGCGGACGGGUGAGUAACACGUGGGUAACCUACCUAUAAGACUGGGAUAACUCCGGGAAACCGGGGCUAAUACCGGAUAAUAUAUUGAACCGCAUGGUUCAAUGUUGAAAGACGGUUUCGGCUGUCACUUAUAGAUGGACCCGCGCCGUAUUAGCUAGUUGGUAAGGUAACGGCUUACCAAGGCAACGAUACGUAGCCGACCUGAGAGGGUGAUCGGCCACACUGGAACUGAGACACGGUCCAGACUCCUACGGGAGGCAGCAGUAGGGAAUCUUCCGCAAUGGGCGAAAGCCUGACGGAGCAACGCCGCGUGAGUGAUGAAGGUCUUAGGAUCGUAAAACUCUGUUGUUAGGGAAGAACAAAUUUGUUAGUAACUGAACAAGUCUUGACGGUACCUAACCAGAAAGCCACGUCUAAUUAU
rnacentral:rRNA from 2 species